CAGAAGUGACACUGUGUUGUUCUGUACAUGUGUUGGAUGUCAAGUUUUGGAUAGAAAUGACCUCAGGAGUGACAUUUUGUUGCUCUCUACAUGUGCUGAAUGUUGAGCCUAAUAGCGGCUCAAACAGGAGGAGUGAAUAAACUCGCAAAAUCUAAGGUAAUAGGUGGCUCCAAACUUCCCCGAAGCACCUAAUUAAGAAGGUAACGUUUGGUGGCGAAAGUAAGAAGAUAAGGAAUCACCUGGACAGAACGACGAAGCCGAGGAUAACAGAAAGCGGCAAAGCUGGGAAGAAG
rnacentral:misc_RNA from 1 species